rnacentral:tRNA from 1 species
GGCGGAAUUGCUGGCUUUUCGGUAAACGCGGGCAAACGCGGACAGUCCGAACGCCCGCUCUCUCACGGCGGCAACAGGGGUUCGAAUCCCCUAGGGGACGCCA